rnacentral:rRNA from 1 species
UACGUAGGCAGCGAGCGUUGUUCAGAGUUACUGGGCGUAAAGGGUGCGUAGGCGGUUGUUUAAGUUUGGUGUGAAAUCUCCCGGCUCAACUGGGAGGGUGCGCCGAAUACUGAAUGACUAGAGUGCGGGAGAGGAGAGUGGAAUUCCUGGUGUAGCGGUGAAAUGCGUAGAUAUCAGGAGGAACACCGGUGGUGUAGACGGCUCUCUGGACCGUAACUGACGCUGAGGCACGAAAGCGUGGGUAGCAAACAGG